rnacentral:rRNA from 1 species
AGAAUCAACGCUGGCGGCGUGCCUAACACAUGCAAGUCGAACGCGAAAGGGGCUUCGGCCCUGAUUGAGUGGCAAACGGGUGAGUAACGCGUGGGUGACCUGCCCUUGAGUGGGGGAUAACGUUCCGAAAGGGACGCUAAUACCGCAUAAUAUCCCGCUCUUGAAUAGGUGGAGAUCAAAGCCGGGGACCGCGAAGGCCUGGCGCUUGAGGAGGGGCCCGCGUCCGAUUAGCUAGUUGGUGGGGUAAAAGCUCACCAAGGCUUCGAUCGGUA